UGAGGAAUAUUGGUCAAUGGACGAGAGUCUGAACCAGCCAAGUAGCGUGAAGGAUGACUGCCCUAUGGGUUGUAAACUUCUUUUAUACGGGAAUAAAGUGAGCCACGUGUGGUUUUUUGUAUGUACCGUAUGAAUAAGGAUCGGCUAACUCCGUGCCAGCAGCCGCGGUAAUACGGAGGAUCCGAGCGUUAUCCGGAUUUAUUGGGUUUAAAGGGAGCGUAGGCGGGUUGUUAAGUCAGUUGUGAAAGUUUGCGGCUCAACCGUAAAAUUGCAGUUGAUACUGGCGACCUUGAGUGCAACAGAGGUAGGCGGAAUUCGUGGUGUAGCGGUGAAAUGCUUAGAUAUCACGAAGAACUCCGAUUGCGAAGGCAGCUUACUGGAUUGUAACUGACGCUGAUGCUCGAAAGUGUGGGUAUCAAACAG
rnacentral:rRNA from 1 species